AUUUUUGUAUGUUUAUUUUUAUAAAUAUUUCACAUGUCAGACUUCAGAGUUUUGAAAACAAGAUCUACGAAAAGGCUUUUCAUUAUUCCGAGCAGACU